AGUAGGACUGUCUUAUUCUCAACCGAGAGGGUUACUGCAACUAGCAAGGAAAGUGUCAUGUUCAUACUAUUUUGCUUUUUUUGUGAUAAUUGCAGCAGGUUAUGUUCUUAUGAUGGUAAUUUUAGAUAACACGAAGAUUGAGAUAGUCCAUUGAUCUUUCAGUUACACACUAUAAAUUUAUAAACUGAAGUUACAUGCUAUUAUGUACUUGUAUCAUUGAAGUGUUUGUUUAGUCAGUGUAUAGGGACGGGAUGAUCCGACAAGGAGCAAAUAUAAACCUUUCUUAUGUGGUUCGUUGAUUCUUGUGAUCCCUUCUGAACUGCUGAUGGAGUUUUCUACCGCAGUUAAUACAUCUUCAAUGACUUCAGUACGACGUGCAAUUUCUGCACAGAGCCAUUUAUAAUGCCAUCUGCUGGGAAUGUUGACAUAUUCUGCUGUGAUAAUACUGGGACAUUCCAUCGAAUGAUAUGGACACCUUCAAAGAAAAUUAUGCGUACCAGGAACCCAUCAAGAAGGGAGUGUAGUUCAAUUUGGCAUCUACCUCUGCCUCUGAACCAUGGAGUGAAUUUGGCACCCACCUCCUUCUGAAGCAUCCAUCGGCUGAAAAAAGUGGUACACCAGAUGUGGCGGGGGAGGGUCAGUGCAAGAUGGAAAGACAUGAGGUUUUUCCUGCGAUGGUCUUAUGAAGUGUAUGGAAUUUUCAGUGACUUGGUGCCUGUGUUAUGAUUCUUUAUUUUAUGGUAGUCUUUAUCUGAUUUUAUUUUUGUUCAUUGAUUAUAAUGACCUAUGGGGAAUUGUUCAUGGACGUUCUGACUCCUUAGAGUUCAGGUCAUUUUGUGUACAAGAAGUUUAAUAAUUUGCAUCCUGCAGAUCAAAUGGUGACAUCUGAUCCUAGCAUUCCGCACUGUAAGUCUGACACAAAUGGUUGAAGGUCAAACAUUCACAAUUGGUAUGUACUGCAUUCUAUGUAUUGAUGUAUAUGUUUCAAGUUCUAUUUCCAAACAAUUUCCCUUAUAUUCCUUUAAAGUAUGAUAUACUGGAAUUCUCAGUGGUUUGACUAUGAUUGACAAUGUGUCAUUUUUCAGAAGAUAAAACAUUGCUUUUUAAGGAAGUCUUUAUGUUUUGGUAAUUAAGCUUUAUAUUUAUAUGUAGUCCUAGACGUUUUUUUACUUUUAUCUUAAGUAGAAAUGUAUGUGUCUUAAAAGUUCAGAUGAAGUUGACAUUCUCUUUGGAAUUUUUGCAAACCUAUUACUUAUAAUGGACAAAGCAGAGUGUGUUAGAUGGGAGAAUGGAUGGACUACUAUCAUUCGGAUGGCACCUGGGCGACACAG